rnacentral:lncRNA from 1 species
AUGGUUCCCGGGAGGAGCGAGCGGAGGGCGGCGUGCGGGGAGCGCGGAGCGGGCGCUACAGGAGCGGCAGCAGGACAAAGAAAACCAUGUGCGGCGGCGGCGGCCGGGGGCAGCGGCGGCACCUCCGGGUGCGGGGCGGUGCGGGGCGGUGCGGCCGCGGCGCCUCCUCCCUCCCUCCGCGGCUCCAGCGCCGGCGGCUGCGCGUCCCUUCCUUCGGGCGGCUUUUUGGGUUCUCUUCCGCUGUUUGCAGGGGUGUUUGGGGGACUGACUGGUUUUGUUUUGGUUAAAAAGUCAUGCCCGUCCUCUCCCGAGCCAAAGCGGGCUUCCGCCGGGCGCCGUCCCUCCCGUCGCGGCCGCGCUCAGGUGAAUUCCAUGGGGGAGAAGCAGCGGCCCGGCCCCGGCUCCUCCGGCCCCGCCGAAACAGCCUCGCAAGCCUGUAAUCCCCGAGGGGCGGCCGCUCCGCGCUGCUCCGCUCCGCCCGGCCCGGCUGCAGGCGCCGGCCGGACCCCUCUCGCCGCCCGGCUCCGCUCCGCACUGCGCGGCGCUCCCGGAGCCGCCGCCGCCGCCCGCCGGCUCCGCCCUCCGCCGGCCCCGCCCCGCGCUCCGCCGGGGUCCCCGCGGCGGGGGCGGCCCGGCCGGGCGGGGGAGGCUCCGCGGGAGCUGCGCUCCCUCCGCCGGCGGCCGGCCCGGAGCAGCCCGCGGAGCCGCGGGGCUGCGCGGAGCCUCCGGCGGCGGCUCCUCGGUGCGCGGCGAGGGACCCGCGGAGCCGGACGGAGUCCCCCCUGCCCCGGGAUGGCGGCACACGCACACGAGCAUCAGUCGCGAAAGCUCCAUGAACAUCAUUCUCUAGAGCUGCGCGGGAGUGGGAAAAACCAACGUCCCCAGCUGCAGGCAGGGUGGCCUCCCGGGGACUCCGGCUGCUCGCUGGCUGUGGUUUCUCUCUGAGCCUCCUGUGCAAAGACUCGCCUGACUACUUCCUGCACUGAACAUUAUUGUCGACGGGCAGUGGAUUUCCCACUCGCUGUAGGUUUUCCUUAAGUGCAGCACACCAUUAGUAAUGGCCACCGCGGAAAAUAAAUGCACAGAUACGUGAUGAUAUAAAUGAUUAUUCACUGAAGCGCGGCACUUGGAGCCAAAUGAUGUUUCCUGGGAAGAUGAGAGGCAGUUAUGCACAUUGGCACAGUAGCUCCAUACGGUGAGAUGUUUCCUGGGAAAGGGAUAGGUGCUAAGAGGGGAUUUACGGGCUUGCAAGACCGUGUCCAGGGAGUGUUUUCAAGAUUUCAAACCUGGAAAUAGGUUUCAAAGCCAUACUGGGCUAGGAGUGCUAAUGGAAUUAAACUCCCAUGGGUUACACUUGAAUUUGAGCUAAAUCCUCAGAAACAGACUUGACAAGUCCUAUUCUCUCCAACUCCUGUGGCAGAGCUCAGUCUGGAGGAGGUGAUUCUCUUAAUGAAAACAUGGGAACUACUUACACCAGCCAGGAAGCAAGUGCAGAGCAAGAGCUGUGUGUGCCUGCUCAGCCUUACCUGAGCCGGGAUUAUAGUUAUGUGCCCAAAAUCCAGUGGCAGCUUGGGAAGAUUCACAUCUGUCCUUGCCCAGCUCCAAGCUCACCUGAGGACGUGGGAGGAGGAGGGACUGCCCUUCUCCUGGCCCUAGGGCACCGAGGUGGCUCUGAGCUCUCCCUCAGCAGGGACACGGUGCAGGUGGCUGUGGUGGCUCUGGUGGCCCUGCCCAGAGCAAAUCCCACAGCAUGUGAGGGGAAGGAGGAAUCAUGAUCUGACUGUCCACACAAGCACAAGUGCUGUAAUUAAGAAAGAACACCUACCAAUUACCCAUGUAGAACUACACGAUUUUAUGCAAAUACUUCCCCUUCGUUCCUCAUUCCAUCACCACAUGAUCCAUUUAAGAAUCCAUUUAAGUUUUCCCCUUCAGUGGCUUCUCCAAGAUCUCAUCUGAGGAGCAGUCCCACUGACUGUGGUGAUUUCUGCUGGGUCAGUGGGGUGGGAAGAUGUACAAAGAACAAUAAUCCUCCACAGGAGAUGAACACGCCCAGCACUGCUCCAGGCUCAGACAUCACAGUGCUUUUGUGCCCUGGCUGAUCCAGGGUGGGAGCACUUUGGUGAAACCGGGACAAGUGGUCUCCACUGGAAAAUCAAGGAAUUAUGGCCAGCCUGAGAUCCUGGUAUGGCAAUGGAAAUGAAUUCUCCAGGACUGUCCAGAUGAGUAGGUUAUCCCCACAUUUCCACACCAUGACUGAGCAUGGAUUUUGGCUCUUAAACUUUCACAGGUUUUUACAUCUAAUAAAUAUAUAUUUGCAUCUAAUAAAUAAAUAAAUGAAUGAAUAAUCUGCAGAGAUAAUCCUGUGCUAUCAGAGACGUGGUUUUCAUCUCCUCUUAGAAACCCAACAGAAAUGGCUUCAGGUCUGGUCUCUGGAAUCAAGAGUGGGCAGAGGCCAAAAGCCAGUGCAGCCCAGUGGCCAUGGAUGUUGCUUGAGUGCAGAUUCCAGUCCUCACCAAAAAAUAAAUUGAUAAAGGCAUUAAACUGGCCGAGUGUUCUCUGUACAGUCAUAGCACUUGGGGGCUCCAUGGGCCGAUGGUGAGGCUGUACCUGGACAAGGAAUUAAAUGCACAGUACCAAGGCGUGGCAGCUCCUGUAUUCUAUGAGC